rnacentral:rRNA from 1 species
GAUGAGUAGGGCGGGACACGUGGUAUCCUGUCUGAAUAUGGGGGGACCAUCCUCCAAGGCUAAAUACUCCUGACUGACCGAUAGUGAACCAGUACCGUGAGGGAAAGGCGAAAAGAACCCCGGCGAGGGGAGUGAAAAAGAACCUGAAACCGUGUACGUACAAGCAGUGGGAGCACGCUUAGGCGUGUGACUGCGUACCUUUUGUAUAAUGGGUCAGCGACUUAUAUUCUGUAGCAAGGUUAACCGAAUAGGGGAGCCGAAGGGAAACCGAGUCUUAACUGGGCGUUAAGUUGCAGGGUAUAGACCCGAAACCCGGUGAUCUAGCCAUGGGCAGGUUGAAGGUUGGGUAACACUAACUGGAGGACCGAACCGACUAAUGUUGAAAAAUUAGCGGAUGACUUGUGGCUGGGGGUGAAAGGCCAAUCAAACCGGGAGAUAGCUGGUUCUCCCCGAAAGCUAUUUAGGUAGCGCCUCGUGAAUUCAUCUCCGGGGGUAGAGCACUGUUUCGGCAAGGGGGUCAUCCCGACUUACCAACCCGAUGCAAACUGCGAAUACCGGAGAAUGUUAUCACGGGAGACACACGGCGGGUGCUAACGUCCGUCGUGAAGAGGGAAACAACCCAGACCGCCAGCUAAGGUCCCAAAGUCAUGGUUAAGUGGGAAACGAUGUGGGAAGGCCCAGACAGCCAGGAUGUUGGCUUAGAAGCAGCCAUCAUUUAAAGAAAGCGUAAUAGCUCACUGGUCGAGUCGGCCUGCGCGGAAGAUGUAACGGGGCUAAACCAUGCACCGAAGCUGCGGCAGCGACACUAUGUGUUGUUGGGUAGGGGAGCGUUCUGUAAGCCUGUGAAGGUGUGCUGUGAGGCAUGCUGGAGGUAUCAGAAGUGCGAAUGCUGACAUAAGUAACGAUAAAGCGGGUGAAAAGCCCGCUCGCCGGAAGACCAAGGGUUCCUGUCCAACGUUAAUCGGGGCAGGGUGAGUCGACCCCUAAGGCGAGGCCGAAAGGCGUAGUCGAUGGGAAACAGGUUAAUAUUCCUGUACUUGGUGUUACUGCGAAGGGGGGACGGAGAAGGCUAUGUUGGCCGGGCGACGGUUGUCCCGGUUUAAGCGUGUAGGCUGGUUUUCCAGGCAAAUCCGGAAAAUCAAGGCUGAGGCGUGAUGACGAGGCACUACGGUGCUGAAGCAACAAAUGCCCUGCUUCCAGGAAAAGCCUCUAAGCAUCAGGUAACAUCAAAUCGUACCCCAAACCGACACAGGUGGUCAGGUAGAGAAUACCAAGGCGCUUGAGAGAACUCGGGUGAAGGAACUAGGCAAAAUGGUGCCGUAACUUCGGGAGAAGG